GCUGCUUAACCUAACUGGGCUAACGAUUUGAAAUCGUUAAUAUUGUCUUUGGUGACAAAUGUAGUU
rnacentral:tRNA from 1 species